AAAGGGAGACCUAAUUCGGGUAUAAGACGAAAAAAUAGUAGUCGAAACCAAGAAUCAAUCCCAAAAGGUCGGAACGAGGUAUGUGGCUUUCAAACUAGGUUCUGGGUUCAUAAAAGACCUGAAUCAGGAACAAGGGCUAUUAGCUCAGGUGGUUAGAGCGCACCCCUGAUAAGGGUGAGGUCCCUGGUUCGAGUCCAGGAUGGCCCACCUGCACAGGUGGCAAAAACAAAGAAAAGAAGCGAGGAAUCAGCACCUGAUCUUACUUAUAUAGUAAGAGAGAAUGCUGGCUCUGAGUUCAGAGUCCAGAGGAACCUUGAAAACUGCAUAGAGCUAGGUGAAAAAGCCAAAAAAGAAGACCGCAAG
rnacentral:tRNA from 1 species